rnacentral:rRNA from 1 species
AGCUACAGGCUUAACACAUGCAAGUCGAGGGGCAGCAUGGUCUUAGCUUGCUAAGGCCGAUGGCGACCGGCGCACGGGUGAGUAACGCGUAUCCAACCUGCCUUACACUCUUGGACAGCCUUCUGAAAGGGAGGUUAAUACAAGAUGUUAUCAUGAGUAAGCAUUUUCGCAUGAUUAAAGGUUUACCGGUGUAAGAUGGGGAUGCGUUCCAUUAGAUAGUAGGCGGGGUAACGGCCCACCUAGUCUUCGAUGGAUGGGGGUUCUGAGAGGAAGGUCCCCCACAUUGGAACUGAGACACGGUCCAAACUCCUACGGGAGGCAGCAGUGAGGAAUAUUGGUCAAUGGACGAGAGUCUGAACCAGCCAAGUAGCGUGAAGGAUGAAGGUUCUAUGGAUUGUAAACUUCUUUUAUACGGGAAUAAACGGAUCCACGUGUGGAUUUUUGCAUGUACCGUAUGAAUAAGGAUCGGCUAACUCCGUGCCAGCAGCCGCGGUAAUACGGAGGAUCCGAGCGUUAUCCGGAUUUAUUGGGUUUAAAGGGAGCGUAGAUGGGUUGUUAAGUCAGUUGUGAAAGUUUGCGGCUCAACCGUAAAAUUGCAAUUGAUACUGGCAGUCUUGAGUACAGUUGAGGUAGGCGGAAUUCGUGGUGUAGCGGUGAAAUGCUUAGAUAUCACGAGGAACUCCGAUUGCGAAGGCAGCUUACUUAACCCUGUAACUGACAUUGAUGCUCGAAAGUGUGGGUAUCAAACAGGAUUAGAUACCCUGGUAGUCCACACGGUAAACGAUGAAUACUCGCUGUAGGCGAUAUACAGUCUGCGGCCAAGCGAAAGCAUUAAGUAUUCCACCUGGGGAGUACGCCGGCAACGGUGAAACUCAAAGGAAUUGACGGGGGCCCGCACAAGCGGAGGAACAUGUGGUUUAAUUCGAUGAUACGCGAGGAACCUUACCCGGGCUUAAAUUGCAACCGAAUAUGGCGGAAACGCUAUAGCUAGCAAUAGCGGUUGUGAAGGUGCUGCAUGGUUGUCGUCAGCUCGUGCCGUGAGGUGUCGGCUUAAGUGCCAUAACGAGCGCAACCCUUGCCGAUAGUUACUAACAGGUCAUGCUGAGGACUCUGUCGGGACUGCCAUCGUAAGAUGUGAGGGAGGUGGGGAUGACGUCAAAUCAGCACGGCCCUUACGUCCGGGGCUACACACGUGUUACAAUGGGGGGUACAGAGGGCUGCUACCACGCAAGUGGAUGCCAAUCCCAAAAACCUCUCUCAGUUCGGAUUGAAGUCUGCAACCCGACUUCAUGAAGCUGGAUUCGCUAGUAAUCGCGCAUCAGCCACGGCGCGGUGAAUACGUUCCCGGGCCUUGUACACACCGCCCGUCAAGCCAUGGGAGCCGGGGGUACCUGAAGUGCGUAACCGCAAGGAGCGCCCUAGGGUAAAACUGGUGACUGGGGCUAAGUCAUAACA